rnacentral:rRNA from 1 species
GCAGUCGAGCGAUUUACUUCGGUAAAGAGCGGCGGACGGGUGAGUAACGCGUGGGUAACCUGCCCUAUACACACGGAUAACAUACCGAACGGUAUGCUAAUACGAGAUGACAUAAGAGAUUCGCAUGGAUUUCUUAUCAAAGCUUUUGCGGUAUAGGAUGGACCCGCGUCUGAUUAGCUAGUUGGUAAGGUAACGGCUUACCAAGGCGACGAUCAGUAGCCGACCUGAGAGGGUGAUCGGCCACAUUGGAACUGAGACACGGUCCAAACUCCUACGGGAGGCAGCAGUGGGGAAUAUUGCACAAUGGGCGAAAGCCUGAUGCAGCAACGCCGCGUGAGCGAUGAAGGCCUUCGGGUCGUAAAGCUCUGUCCUCAAGGAAGAUAAUGACGGUACUUGAGGAGGAAGCCCGGGCUAACUACGUGCCAGCAGCCGUGGUAAUACGUAGGGGGCUAGCGUUAUCCGGAAUUACUGGGCGUAAAGGGUGCGUAGGUGGUUUCUUAAGUCAGAGGUGAAAGGCUACGGCUCAACCGUAGUAAGCCUUUGAAACUGAGAAACUUGAGUGCGGGAGAGGAGAGUAGAAUUCCUAGUGUAGCGGUGAAAUGCGUAGAUAUUAGGAGGAAUACCAGUUGCGAAGGCGGCUCUCUGGACUGUAACUGACACUGAGGCACGAAAGCGUGGGGAGCAAACAGGAUUAGAUACCCUGGUAGUCCACGCCGUAAACGAUGAGUACUAGCUGUCGGAGGUUACCCCCUUCG